rnacentral:rRNA from 1 species
UAAGGAAUAUUGCUCAAUGGGAGAAAUCCUGAAGCAGCAACGCCGCGUGGAGGAUGAAGGGUCUAUGACUUGUAAACUCCUGUAAAGAAGGAAAAAAUUCCCAUUAGAUGGGAGAUGAUGGUACUUCUGGAGUAAGCUCCGGCUAACUACGUGCCAGCAGCCGCGGUAAUACGUAGGGAGCAAGCGUUGUCCGGAUUUACUGGGUGUAAAGGGUGCUCAGGCGGAUUUGUAAGUCAGAGGUGAAAUCUCACAGCUUAACUGUGAAACUGCCUUUGAUACUGCAAGCCUAGAGUAUGGAAGAGAGUGAUGGAAUAUCUGGUGUAGCAGUGAAAUGCGUAGAUAUCAGAUAGAACACCAAUGGCGAAGGCAGUCACUUGGUCCAUUACUGACGCUAAAGCACGAAAGCGUGGGUAGCAAACA